AGUGAACGCUGGCGGUAGGCCUAACACAUGCAAGUCGAACGGCAGCACAGUAAGAGCUUGCUCUUACGGGUGGCGAGUGGCGGACGGGUGAGGAAUACAUCGGAAUCUACUUUUUCGUGGGGGAUAACGUAGGGAAACUUACGCUAAUACUGCAUACGACCUACGGGUGAAAGCAGGGGAUCUUCGGACCUUGCGCGAUUGAAUGAGCCGAUGUCGGAUUAGCUAGUUGGCGGGGUAAAGGCCCACCAAGGCGACGAUCCGUAGCUGGUCUGAGAGGAUGAUCAGCCACACUGGAACUGAGACACGGUCCAGACUCCUACGGGAGGCAGCAGUGGGGAAUAUUGGACAAUGGGCGCAAGCCUGAUCCAGCCAUACCGCGUGGGUGAAGAAGGUCUUCGGGUUGUAAAGCCCUUUUGUUGGGAAAGAAAAGCAGCAGGUUAAUACCCCGCUGUUCUGACGGUACCCAAAGAAUAAGCACCGGCUAACUUCGUG
rnacentral:rRNA from 1 species